GGGCAGGAUGUGUGAAGUAGGCCCACCGGCAAGCCGGAGUAGCCUCUUCACUGUGCCUUAUUCGCAACUUACGUUGCUCAACAUCUAUCUAACCUUUCAGGUUA
rnacentral:ncRNA from 1 species